rnacentral:rRNA from 1 species
UACAGAGGGGGCAAGCGUUAUUCGGAAUUAUUGGGCGUAAAGGGCGCGUAGGCGGCUUUGCAAGUGACGGGUGAAAGCCCUCGGCUUAACCGAGGAACUGCCUGUCAGACUGUAAGGCUUGAGACUGGGAGAGGUGAGUGGAAUUCCGAGUGUAGAGGUGAAAUUCGUAGAUAUUAGGAAGAACACCGGUGGCGAAGGCGGCCCACUGGUCCGGUACUGACGCUGAGGUGCGAAAGCGUGGGGAGCAAACAGG